CUCACAUGAAAGAAGGUUGUCCCGAAACGCAGUUACUUCCCCUGGCUAGUCACGUGAUUAUUGUCAACACAAUGUCGGUGACGGUGCAUAUUGAGUAUUGUGGCGGAUGAGGUUACGAACCUCGGUAUCAGGAACUCAAGCAAUGGCUUAGCUCCCGUACCGAGGCGGAGAUCACUGGAGCUGUUGGACGGAGCUCUUCAUUUGAAGUGACUGUGAAUAACAAGCUCGUGUUCUCCAAGCUGCAACUGGCUGGAUUCCCCGACCAGGAGGAUGUCCUCUUGGCAGUCAAGGAAGCAGAACAAGGCCUGGAGCCUAAAACAAUCACUGAUUCCAAGAGCCCAGGAUGCAUCAUUCUCUAGAUUUUCACUCACUGAUAAAGUCCAUCAAUGCUGAAGCUCUGUAUCUACGUCAGAGUUGCCUCCCCUAUGGUGGCCUGUGCUUAAACUCAGAGCAUGGGCCGGAGAUCUGGCGGAGCUCUGACCGAGGAACAGACCAUGCAGUGGCGAUGGGACUUCUUGAAGUGCCCCUGCUAACCAACUGAUAUUUUGUCAAACUAUGUAGUGCUAAUUUCACAAAUUGUACCUGAAAACUUUGAAGAGGUCAGCUGAAGUGAUUCUAAUGAAUCGAUGAUCAUCUUAGAUAUGUGUGUUCAGUCGUACACACAUUCACUGGUACAGGUACAUUUGUUCUGUCAGUAAAAAACUAUCAUGGUUUCCUUAUAUAAUAUGUUAAAUGAUUACAUUAACUCAUUCCUCAGAUCAAAUUUGUUCAAACAUUUAGUUCCCAAUAAAUAACCUAUUGAUACUUUUUGAAAUUAUGUUCACAGCCUUGUGAUGAAUUUCAUAUGCUGGCACACUUGUUGGAGAAAUAUAGUGUCGUCUGCUUGCCAGUAUUUAACGGGUCAACAAAAGUUGUAUUCAUAGGCAGCAAAAUUUUUAGGUUUAUUUUGUCAUCAUGUAUAUAAUGCAUGUUAUUUAUUGGAAUUGAAUUAUGAGUAUUAAAAUGUUUUCCCAUUCA